ensembl:lncRNA
UGCAUAUUGAAAGAGACCUACAAUUGAUUUCUGUAAAAAUGUCUAAAAAUACUGUAGUAAAAUCUAAGGUAAGAUUUCUUUUUUUUAUAUUCCUUUAUAGGAUGUGUUAUUAAUGGCCUAAUUAAAUACCUAAACAUAUCUACACGUUGAAAUGAAAAUGUGCUAGUCUUUGUCUAGCAUUGCCGACUUGUCUCUGCGUGAAGAUGAAACAAUGCGCAGUGUUUUCUGUUAAAGGUGAUUCAUUGCUCUGACGAGAACACCCCUAAGGAUGAACUGGUCAAGAGUCAGCACCGUUGCGACCACCAGCAGAAAAGAAGCUGUCUGGUGUGUAUCUUGAGUCCUUGGGCAUCUGCUGCUAUCCUCUCCCAUGGGUUCAGAAGGAGCAUACAGAAAUGGCUUUCCCUUGUUAUGACUAUGGUGACCAUUUUUCUCAGUGAGAGGUAAGAGUAAUGUCAUGGCUGUAUGCCUAUUUCUAUGUUACCUUUCCAUUAACAACAGUGUAACGCAACCUUUAUCAACAGAAAGAGAAAGCCUUUAGCUGAACAUAUUUUAAUGUACAGGGAUGCCAGAAUGGCCUUAGAGAAUGAUUAGCUUUGUGUGUUGGGAAGGCUUCCAAUGGACAUCACCGAUCCCAGAGCUGGUCCUGGUUCUGUCCUGGUUUUAUAUUUAUGUCGUCUCAUUCGUGUGUUGAGAUAGUGUAAUCUGUUCCAUUUUAACACUACCAUUUCAACUGUGUGUGUCUCACAGGGUGACACCAAAAGCAAUAGGUGAAAGGCUGCAGGCUGUGUCCAACGGUCUAUGGGUCACAAAGGGCCGUGAGGUAACCAUGGUCCCACCUCAGGUUCCUCUCCCCAGUCCUGUCACUUCAAGUCAGAGGGCAGCAGCUAUCCACUGCCUUAAAGAACUGGUGCGAUUGUACCGCUGUUCUAUUGGCCAAGGGACUGCACAUGGUGUGUGUGAAUGGAGGAUAUCCACUGCUGUUGAGAUGACUCUAAGAAAUGCAGGCAUGUUACCCAACAGCAUUUUCCACAACGGUUGGAUGAAAGUGUCCAUCUCAGACCAGCUCCCUCCAUUGACCCUUGGUGAGUCCACCAAGCUGGAACAAUCUGGUCCACCAUUGGCAUGUCUUUUCCCUAGAGAAGCUGCCAUGAUGAGUGCUAAACCCCACCGUGCCCAACAGCUGAGAAAGAAAAGCCCAUAUCACAGACAGCGUCAGGCUUCCUCCACACUCUGCAUGGUCCCAGAGAUGCUCCUUAUCCACACCCUUGGCAGAUUUAUUUAUAAUAUCUACCCCCUGGAGGACUUCUCCCCAUGGACAGAGGAGGUUAUUGAAAACCGUGUGGAGGUGACGCGGCAACUUUCCUUCCUGGUCCAGGAGGCCUUGGCCAAAUCUCCUAAGACCAAAGCCCUACAAAGAGCACUGAGGAAGCUCUCAGAGCCGAACCAGAACUAUGGCCCACUGGAGCUCCAGCUGGGAGAUCUGCUGUUCAGCAACUUUCUGAAGCAGUUCUCUUCACAGCGCCCCCUGUCACCCGAGGCCUUCCUGGACAAUCACCAGCUCUGCUUGGAAGUGUCAGUUAUGGUGAGCAGGGUGCUUCUCCAGCACUGGACCCCCAGGAUUUCUUUCUCCCCUGUCUGUGAUGUCCAGGAAAUCAGCCCGAGACUGAAGCGUCACCAGGGGGGUGUCAUCCAACACUGGUCCUCAACAGACAACCUCCAAGUGCUUGCUGAUGAAAGCCAUGAGGAUCUGCACUCUGUGGAUGACAGAAAACAGCAGAAGAAAGGAGUAAAGAGUUUUUUCCGCAGAGCUUGGAAGUCAUUCAAGCGAUUCUCUACCACUGGCUGCCUGCUGUGAGGUAUUGUCUCUCCCGCCUUUCUGUCAUUCGGUUUUCAAUGUGUAUGCCCUAUCUGUUCCAUUAUAUCCA